rnacentral:rRNA from 1 species
UACGUAGGGGGCGAGCGUUAUCCGGAAUUAUUGGGCGUAAAGAGUACGUAGGUGGUCUACUAAGCGCAAGGUGAAAGCCCGGGGCUCAACUCCGGCGAGCCUUGUGAACUGGCAGACUUGAGUGCAGGAGGGGAAAGUAGAAUUCCUAGUGUAGCGGUGAAAUGCGUAGAUAUUAGGAGGAACACCGGUGGCGAAGGCGACUUUCUGGACUGUAACUGACACUGAGGUACGAAAGCGUGGGGAGCAAGCA